rnacentral:lncRNA from 1 species
AGGAUAUUUAUGUCUUGGGACAAUUUAUUUUAUUUGAACCUUUAUUUAUCUAGGCAAGUCAGUUAAGAACAAAUUCUUAUUGACAAUGAAAGCCUAGGAACAGUGGGUUAACUGCCUUCUUCAGGGGCAGAAGGACUGAUUUUUACCUUGUCAGCUCGGGGUAUUCGAUCCAGCAACCUUUUGGUUAGUGGCCCAACACUCUAACCACUAGGCUAUCUGCCGCCCCUAAAAGAUGAAAUGAACACCUGUAGUGUUAUAGUAAAUCAUUUUGGUGUGUUGUUCUGCACUCUAGUUAUCAAUUUGUCUCCCUCUGCCAUAUGGAUCAAAUCAAAUCAAAUUUAUUUAUAUAGCCCUUCUUACAUCAGCUGAUAUCUCAAAGUGCUGUACAGAAAUCCAGCCUAAAACCCCAAACUGCAAGCAAUGCAGGUGUAGAAGCACGGUGGCUUGGAAAAACUCUAGAAAGGCCAAAACCUAGGAAGAAACCUAGAGAGGAACCAGGCUAUGAGGGGUGGCCAGUCCUCUUCUGGCUGUGCCGGGUGGAGAUUAUAACAGAACAUGGCCAAGAUGUUCAAAUGUUCAUAAAUGACCAUCAGGGUCAAAUAAUAAUAAUCACAGUAGUUGUCGAGGGUGCAACAAGUCAGCACCUGAAGAGUAAAUGUCAGUUGGCUUUUCAUAGCCGAUCAUUCAGAGUAUCUCUACCGCUCCUGCUGUCUCUAGAGAGUUGAAAACAGCAGGUCUGGGUACAGGUAGCACGUCCGGUGAACAGGUCAGGGUUUCAUACCCGCAGGCAGAACAGUUGAAACUGGAGCAGCAGCACGGCCAGGUGGACUGGGGACAGCAAGGAGUCAUCAGGCCAGGUAGUCCUGAGGCAUGGUCCUAGGGCAACCACCCAGAGUUAGGGUACCCACCCAGAGUUAGGACAACCACCCAGAGUUAGGACAACCACCCAGAGUGUCAGGAAUCCCGCUUCCUGAGUCUGUUUCUGCCUCAGAUUACUGUUUGUUUGAGUGUUGUCUAAGGUUCCUGAACGCACCCUGUCUGGUUGCCAGGCAACGAGGUUAGGUGGGAGAUCUAGUUAUUACACGCACCUGCAUCUCAUCAACCUUCUGCACACCUGGUCCUGAUCUUCACCUCUUCUUAAACCCUGAGCUGACAUCCAUUCCCUGCCGGAUCGUUAGCAACGAACAUCAUUCUCCCAAAACAUUCAACUCCCUUGCCUGGCCGUCGGUGGAUACAGUGACUUCAUUGGAUCAACCCAUUUACUCUCAUCAACUCACCUCCGCUGCCGCUCCGUCUCCUGGAUCACUCAAAUUACACAUCAAGACUACCAAUAAAUACUCACCUUCAUUUUACUCACCUCGUCCUGGUCUGCUUCUGGGUUCUGUCUUAGAGAAUCGUGACACAGAGUUAGGACAACCACCCAGAGUUAGGACAACCACCCAGAGUUAGAAUAUCCACCCAGAGUAAGGAUA